rnacentral:rRNA from 1 species
AGAUUGAACGCUGGCGGCAGGCCUAACACAUGCAAGUCGAGCGGUAGAGAGGUGCUUGCACCUCUUGAGAGCGGCGGACGGGUGAGUAAAGCCUAGGAAUCUGCCUGGUAGUGGGGGAUAACGCUCGGAAACGGACGCUAAUACCGCAUACGUCCUACGGGAGAAAGCAGGGGACCUUCGGGCCUUGCGCUAUCAGAUGAGCCUAGGUCGGAUUAGCUAGGUUGGUGAGGUAAUGGCUCACCGAAGGCGACGAUCCGUAACUGGUCUGAGAGGAUGAUCAGUCACACUGGAACUGAGACCACGGUCCAGACCU